CUGACUGCAAAGCCUAACUGCCUGACUUACAAAACGCUUUAGAGUGGAGGCAGGGGACUCUAACACAGGAUGUCCAAUGAGUCUCCUCUCCUUGGGCUCCUCUAGGUUUUGCUUUUACAGCCCUCAGAGACCCCUUGUGGCAAACUCCAAAAGACGGAUGAAAUGAAAAUCCCCACACACUGUACUGGAAGGCUUCGCACCAGGCGACAUAAUCACCCUGAGCAACCCUCAUGGUGCUGUAAUUAAAUAUUCAACCCAUGUGCGUUCAUACAACGUAAAGGUCUCCAAGCGGAGUGUAGGGAGUGUUUUUUAAUGAUAAUGAUGUAAUACUGACUAAGUCCCUACCGUGUUGGGUCCCUCACAGUGCACGGAAACAGCAAAGCCUCUGGGCUCCACUGAGGUAAUAGAAUCCAAGGUCAGAAACAAAAAUUGUGUGAUCAUCUUUCUAUUUCUUUAGAGAUAUUUCAUGAACACGACCAUACAGUAAUGCAUGUAACCACAGAGAGUAAGGUAGUCAGCUGUUUAUAAAAAGCUACUUCCUUCUAUUUUAGGUUAACUCUCUUUCAAAAAAAAAAAAAAAUGCCUUCCUUUUCCUUAGAACCAUUUUAUUUUCAUCUCAUCUCUCCUCCAAGGAAUAAAAUAAAAAGGGAGAACAAGAUGUCCUUCCCAUCAUGUCAUGGCCCCCCCAUCAAAGAUUUCUCAAGUUAGCAACUCUGAGGAGAUGUCAGAGGAAAUGAAGAGGCCUUUAUGCUAUCCUAUUAACAAUGACUCGAAUGGAAAAACAAAACAAAAAAAAACCCACUUCUGCCUCUAACUUUCGGCUCUUCCCUUUUUCCCCAGCUCAGACACUCAUCUUGUCAAUCACCGCCAUUUUGCCAAGUGACAUGCCAUGUCUCUGGUCACAGAACAUCAGGACUUAAGCACCACCAGAUCGGCCGAGCGCCCUGGUUCCUCUUGUGGAGUGAGGUCGCCUACGGCUCUGUCUCAGACUCAACAGCCCGUGAGGACUCUGAACUGGCUGUCAAGUCCGGCUUUUCCAGCACCUGUUUUUUUCACCACACCAUCAGUAAAGCCAAAUGUGAGCUGAGAGUGCAGAAAUCCCAAGGGUAGGAAAGCAGGGCAGAGGAAGUCAGGAACAUCACCAACCACACUAACUGGAAUUUUCUCCUGUCCGUCUGUCCGCCAGAUUCCUCCCUGGUGUGGGGGCUGGAGGCCCUAUGAGUGGCACACAGUCUCUGAGAGAAGCGUUUUCAGCUUGCUCAUCCCGGCCAGUACCAGUACUAGUAACCAUACAAACCAUACAGCUACUAUUUAUUGACAGCUUAGUAUGUGUUCCUGGCAUAUUGUAGCAUGAACUCUAAUUGUCAACAAGAGCGAUCCAAUGAACUUCACUGGCUAUGUGGAGAAACUAGGUAUAGAGAAAUUCAGUAACUGGGCCAAAGCCAUGGCUGGUGAGUGGCAAAGCUGUGAUUUGAACCCAGGUGCGUCUGGAAUCAAAGCUCAUCCUUUUGGUCGCCUCAGAACCACCAAGUCAAACACCCUGGCCGACUUGAGUUUGAGCUCUUUUCUGUCACCUGACCCAGACCUGGGAUUCUUCCGGAUGAUGCUACCAAAAUCUAAGGGAGAGGCAACGUGUUCUUACCAGGACCACCAUGUUGCCAAGGUCUGGGAGCACUAUUAACUACUCACCUGAUGCAACUGACGUGCUCCGGAGUUAGGCAACCAAGUGGUAGAUGUUCUGCCGUCUUUCUGGCACAUGGAAUUGCCAAUUCCCUAGGCCUAAGGCUAGACCUCAUCUAUCCAGGUAAUACUCCAAGGCCCAGGACCAAUGAGCACUUAAUUCCAUGGUCACUGUUAGCUUAUUCUUAAAGAUCCCCACGGGCAAAGAUUCUCCAACAGCCUCUAGCAAGUCACACAGGAUUCUGGUCCCUGAGACGGAAAGGGUAUGAUUCCUCCUCCUUGCCUGUUUUCUACUUGCUGAGAAUUAACAGAUCUCUCACAAGUCUGAAGUUGCCUCUAUACCUGUCUCAAGGAACACAGACUAGCCCUGUCACUCUCCGACAGACCUAAAAUAAUAUAUUCUAGCAUAAAAUGAUGGCAUCGCGAGGCUAGUGAAUUGAUGCAAAAGAAGGCACCAUGAAACAACGAACCACAGGAACGUUUAUAAACCCUUCUGCCUUAAAGAGACUGGCAAAACAAAAAGGCUUAUUUCCAAACACUGUAGUCAUCCAGGCUAUUUGCAACCUACACUCAAUUCCUAGACAAUAGUCAUGGGUGCUGAAAUAACUCCAGCUAUUUCUAGCCUUGCAAAAUAAAUACAGGCUGAAAGAAAAGUAUAACUUGUAGUAAACGAUCUAAUACUAUUGCUCUUGAUUAAAGAUGCUAUUUGCUUUUCAGAAUCUUUUCAAAAACAGCUGGGAAAUGGUUACAAGAAGGGUUUUUUGUUUUGUUUUGUUUUGUUUUGUUUUGUUUUGUUUUGUUUUCAGGGUUUGUUUUUUUAAGUUCUCAACCUACAACAUACAGGAGGGUUCCCAACACCGCCCAUUUUCUCUGUCCCUCAUCGACAGUAUCUUUCCUCUGCUUCCAGAUUCUCGUCGACGCUCAAAGUGAAAAUGGAAAUACAAGAAGAUAAAGCAGUGGGUGGCACUCCUUCCCUUGCUUGGUUCAAAAGCACAUUUUUGCCCUCCUCCACAAAAACUAAAGCAGUCCUGCGUUUUAGCUCUAGAGGACACCAGAAAGACAAGGCAAUGACAAGGAGCUAGUCAGGUAUCAUCUUACCAGGUUAAAGGUAUUAUGUCAUGUGGACAGAGGCGGCAUGUCCCUGCUUCUCAAGUUCAAACAACCACGAGAGAGGUCUGGAUCCCACACUAUUUGCAAAAAAUUCUUCCCCUUAAAAUCGGGCUUAGACUCACGUAUGAAUUUGGCAUGAAACUCUAGUUCCUGGAAGACCCCUAAAAUCCAUGUGGAAUCUUCCCAAAUGUUCCUUUCUUGAUUUCCAUCAUUCCAUGCCUACGAGGCUCCCUCUAAAAUCCAUCAAUACCUGCUUUUAGUGAACAUUCAGAGAGUCUAGAAGGCACUUCAUCCUCCAGGGUGUAAGAUAAAUACUGGUCUAAUGUUUCUCAGCAAUAUAAAAUGUCAAUUUAAACACAUACUUUCAUAUACAAAGCCAAGCUGGGAGAUAUUAUUAAUUAUGUUCCACCCUUUAGGAAAUAGGCACCCAGUAAUACUCCUUUAUGUUAACAUAUCAUAUUUGCCUUUUCAGGAGUUUUCACACCCUGGACAUUUUCAUUCCCUCCAAAGACUUAGAGAGUUGUUGCUGCUUUUAAGGAUUCCUAUGAAAAGAUGAGAUUCUAAAAUUUCCUGCCUCCAUCUGUUGACUCCUUGGUCCAUAAGUGUUUACUUGGCCAGGAAGAUUUCUGUUUUGUCUUCUAAAUCAAAUGCUCAUUCCCUCGGGUGAUGGUGGUGGUCGGAGGGGAGCACUUAAGAAAUUCCAUACUGAAGAAAGCGGAGGGUAUAUUGGAAAACCGUGGUCCUGCUGUCUUCCCUUCCUGCCCUAUCACAGACGACUUCCCCACAUUAAUCCAAAGCUCUGCAAAUACAAGGGUCAAUGGCUGCCCACUAACUCCACAGUGUACCAGCUUUGCAAUUCACGGAACCACACACCAACUGCUGUCGUCAGGGUGCCUCAAAGUUACGGCUGUGCGGUUGAGGAAAAAAAUCAGUCCUGUAUCCAGUUCUCUCUGGGUUUUAGUUACUCCUCACUGGUAAAUUUGACACAACAGGUUGUUCCAGAACAUUUGGGUCCAUUCUGACUCUGUGGCCAGCUACUGAUGCUUAGAAUAAAAUACCAGUCACCAUCAGAGAAAAUCUGAGAUGAGAACACAGAAUGGAAAUUAAGUGCCCGGAGUAAUACUGGCAUAAAAUCUUAAGUGGAAUCCGCAAUUAAGUGUAUAAUAAAAUAAAAAUAGCAGACAUCAAGACCUAGAAAACUAUGGCAUGGAUUUAAGUGAGCCAGCCUGCUUGUGUUGCACAAGAAGUCAACACAUUCAUAUUUGUAAAAACAAAGUGGGAAUAAGUAACUGCCCAAUUGUAAGAAAUGGGUGAAAACUUAGGGUGUAAAGGAUACAGAAAUGGCCCCGGCCUAACUCCUAUUCAGGACAGUGGGAUCCCACAUGACACACACACACACACACACACACA